GGUAGCGUAGCCGAGCUGGUCUAAGGCGCUGGGCACCAGUCUCUUCGGAGGCGUGGGUUGAACCCACCGCUGCCA